AGCAAAGCCGCGAGGUAGAGCAAAUCUCAAAAAAACAAUCUCAGUUCAGACUGCAGGCUGCAACUCGCCUGCACGAAGUCGGAAUUGCUAGUAAUCGUAGGUCAGCAUACUACGGUGAAUACGUUCCCGGGCCUUGUACACACCGCCCGUCAAACCAUGAGAGUUGGCAACACCCGAAGUCGGUAGUCUAACCGCAAGGAGGACGCCGCCGAAGGUGGGGUUGAUGAUUAGGGUUAAGUCGUAACAAGGUAGC
rnacentral:rRNA from 1 species